rnacentral:rRNA from 1 species
AACGCUAGCUACAGGCUUAACACAUGCAAGUCGAGGGGCAGCAUGGUCUUAGCUUGCUAAGGCUGAUGGCGACCGGCGCACGGGUGAGUAACACGUAUCCAACCUGCCGUCUACUCUUGGCCAGCCUUCUGAAAGGAAGAUUAAUCCAGGAUGGGAUCAUGAGUUCACAUGUCCGCAUGAUUAAAGGUAUUUUCCGGUAGACGAUGGGGAUGCGUUCCAUUAGAUAGUAGGCGGGGUAACGGCCCACCUAGUCAACGAUGGAUAGGGGUUCUGAGAGGAAGGUCCCCCACAUUGGAACUGAGACACGGUCCAAAUUCCUACGGGAGGCAGCAGUGAGGAAUAUUGGUCAAUGGGCGAUGGCCUGAACCAGCCAAGUAGCGUGAAGGAUGACUGCCCUAUGGGUUGUAAACUUCUUUUAUAAAGGAAUAAAGUCGGGUAUGCAUACCCGUUUGCAUGUACUUUAUGAAUAAGGAUCGGCUAACUCCGUGCCAGCAGCCGCGGUAAUACGGAGGAUCCGAGCGUUAUCCGGAUUUAUUGGGUUUAAAGGGAGCGUAGGCGGGUUGUUAAGUCAGUUGUGAAAGUUUGCGGCUCAACCGUAAAAUUGCAGUUGAUACUGGCGACCUUGAGUGCAACAGAGGUAGGCGGAAUUCGUGGUGUAGCGGUGAAAUGCUUAGAUAUCACGAAGAACUCCGAUUG